GUGAAUCAUCAAAUCUUUGAACGCAAAUUGCGCUUCCUAGCAUCCCGGGAAGUAUGCCUGUUUGAGGGUCAGUAUUAACAAAAAAAUCGGUUUGGUUGCAAAUUGUGACGUUUCCGGAGUUUGGGCUAUCUUAACUUUUUUGGUUAAGGGGCUUAAAUUGAACUUUUUUUGGGCUUUUUUGACGGUAAUAAAUUUUUUUUUUUUUUCGUUUUUUUUAAUUGCCAAAUUUUUUUUAAUGCCAAUA
rnacentral:misc_RNA from 1 species